rnacentral:rRNA from 1 species
UACGUAGGGUCCGAGCGUUGUCCGGAAUUAUUGGGCGUAAAGGGCUCGUAGGCGGUUUGUCACGUCGGGAGUGAAGACUCAGGGCUCAACCCUGAGCGUGCUUCCGAUACGGGCAGACUAGAGGUAUGCAGGGGAGAACGGAAUUCCUGGUGUAGCGGUGGAAUGCGCAGAUAUCAGGAGGAACACCGGUGGCGAAGGCGGUUCUCUGGGCAUUACCUGACGCUGAGGAGCGAAAGCAUGGGGAGCGAACAGG